AUGCAUGAUGGGAAUGGGGUUCUCCCGAAACCGCCGCUUCUGGCUGAUGACUCCUGAUCGAAU
rnacentral:ncRNA from 2 species